rnacentral:rRNA from 1 species
AGGACGAACGCUGGCGGCGUGCUUAACACAUGCAAGUCGAGCGGAAAGGCCCUUCGGGGUACUCGAGCGGCGAACGGGUGAGUAACACGUGGGCAACCUGCCCCUAGCUCUGGGAUAACUCCGGGAAACCGGUGCUAAUACCGGAUACGACCUCAAUUGGCAUCUUCUGAGGUGGAAAGAUUUAUUGGCUAGGGAUGGGCCCGCGGCCUAUCAGCUUGUUGGUGGGGUAAUGGCCUACCAAGGCGACGACGGGUA